rnacentral:sRNA from 1 species
UGACUGGUACAUAUCUCGGCUACUUUUGA